rnacentral:ncRNA from 1 species
ACCAAGGAGUCUAACAUGUGCGCGAGCCGCGGGGCAGUACGAAACCCGUAAGGCGAAAUGAAGGUGAACGCCGGCGCGGUCCGGCGGAGGUUGGAUCCCGUCCCGUCGGGGCGGGCGCACUACCGGCCGAUCUUCUCCGCCCUGUCGGCGAGGUCGAGCGAGAGCGUGCAAGUCGGGACCCGAAAGAUGGUGAACUAUGCCUGAGGAGGUAGAAGCCAGAGGAAACUCUGGUGGAGGACCGUAGCGAUUCUGACGUGCAAAUCGAUCGUCAAAUUUGGGUAUAGGGGCGAAAGACUAAUCGAACCGUCUAAUAGCUGGUUCCCUUUC